rnacentral:lncRNA from 1 species
AUCCGCGCCGCGCCGCGCAUAGCCGCACAGGCUGACAGGCAGAAGGACUGACUUCCCUCUCCGGGCAUCCUCCCUGGGCUGCCGGGAGGCGGCGGCGGAGGAGGAGGAGGAGAAGGAAAGGGGGGAGAAGGCGGAGAGCAGGAACGCGAGGAGGUGGACCUGGAUCCGUUUCUCCCGGCCAGGACCCGAGCGGCCCCAGCUACCGCUACCCGCCGGCGCCGUCCGCUAUCCAUCAACCCUCCUGCGCCCACUCUCUACCCCAGGCUCUCUGCGCGUCGGGCCGGGGCCGGAGCCGCGCGGCCAGAGGUCCGGCCUCUGUUUCCCCGUGAGGAGCAGCCGCGGCCCACCGAGAUGUCCAGGCACCACAGCCGCCUC